rnacentral:rRNA from 1 species
GUGUGUGUUAGUGGAAGCGUCUGGAAAGGCGCGCGAUACAGGGUGACAGCCCCGUACACAAAAAUGCACAUAUUGUGAGCUCGAUGAGUAGGGCGGGACACGUGGUAUCCUGUCUGAAUAUGGGGGGACCAUCCUCCAAGGCUAAAUACUCCUGACUGACCGAUAGUGAACCAGUACCGUGAGGGAAAGGCGAAAAGAACCCCGGCGAGGGGAGUGAAAAAGAACCUGAAACCGUGUACGUACAAGCAGUGGGAGCCUCUUAAUGGGGUGACUGCGUACCUUUUGUAUAAUGGGUCAGCGACUUAUAUUCUGUAGCAAGGUUAACCGAAUAGGGGAGCCGAAGGGAAACCGAGUCUUAACUGGGCGUUAAGUUGCAGGGUAUAGACCCGAAACCCGGUGAUCUAGCCAUGGGCAGGUUGAAGGUUGGGUAACACUAACUGGAGGACCGAACCGACUAAUGUUGAAAAAUUAGCGGAUGACUUGUGGCUGGGGGUGAAAGGCCAAUCAAACCGGGAGAUAGCUGGUUCUCCCCGAAAGCUAUUUAGGUAGCGCCUCGUGAAUUCAUCUCCGGGGGUAGAGCACUGUUUCGGCAAGGGGGUCAUCCCGACUUACCAACCCGAUGCAAACUGCGAAUACCGGAGAAUGUUAUCACGGGAGACACACGGCGGGUGCUAACGUCCGUCGUGAAGAGGGAAACAACCCAGACCGCCAGCUAAGGUCCCAAAGUCAUGGUUAAGUGGGAAACGAUGUGGGAAGGCCCAGACAGCCAGGAUGUUGGCUUAGAAGCAGCCAUCAUUUAAAGAAAGCGUAAUAGCUCACUGGUCGAGUCGGCCUGCGCGGAAGAUGUAACGGGGCUAAACCAUGCACCGAAGCUGCGGCAGCGACACUAUGUGUUGUUGGGUAGGGGAGCGUUCUGUAAGCCUGUGAAGGUGGCCUGUGAGGGUCGCUGGAGGUAUCAGAAGUGCGAAUGCUGACAUAAGUAACGAUAAAGCGGGUGAAAAGCCCGCUCGCCGGAAGACCAAGGGUUCCUGUCCAACGUUAAUCGGGGCAGGGUGAGUCGACCCCUAAGGCGAGGCCGAAAGGCGUAGUCGAUGGGAAACAGGUUAAUAUUCCUGUACUUGGUGUUACUGCGAAGGGGGGACGGAGAAGGCUAUGUUGGCCGGGCGACGGUUGUCCCGGUUUAAGCGUGUAGGCUGGUUUUCCAGGCAAAUCCGGAAAAUCAAGGCUGAGGCGUGAUGACGAGGCACUACGGUGCUGAAGCGACAAAUGCCCUGCUUCCAGGAAAAGCCUCUAAGCAUCAGGUAACAUCAAAUCGUACCCCAAACCGACACAGGUGGUCAGGUAGAGAAUACCAAGGCGCUUGAGAGAACUCGGGUGAAGGAACUAGGCAAAAUGGUGCCGUAACUUCGGGAGAAGGCACGCUGAUAUGUAGGUGAAGCGACUUGCUCGUGGAGCUGAAAUCAGUCGAAGAUACCAGCUGGCUGCAACUGUUUAUUAAAAACACAGCACUGUGCAAACACGAAAGUGGACGUAUACGGUGUGACGCCUGCCCGGUGCCGGAAGGUUAAUUGAUGGGGUUAGCGGUAACGCGAAGCUCUUGAUCGAAGCCCCGGUAAACGGCGGCCGUAACUAUAACGGUCCUAAGGUAGCGAAAUUCCUUGUCGGGUAAGUUCCGACCUGCACGAAUGGCGUAAUGAUGGCCAGGCUGUCUCCACCCGAGACUCAGUGAAAUUGAACUCGCUGUGAAGAUGCAGUGUACCCGCGGCAAGACGGAAAGACCCCGUGAACCUUUACUAUAGCUUGACACUGAACAUUGAGCCUUGAUGUGUAGGAUAGGUGGGAGGCUUUGAAGUGUGGACGCCAGUCUGCAUGGAGCCGACCUUGAAAUACCACCCUUUAAUGUUUGAUGUUCUAACGUGGGCCCCUAAUCGGGGUUGCGGACAGUGUCUGGUGGGUAGUUUGACUGGGGCGGUCUCCUCCUAAAGAGUAACGGAGGAGCACGAAGGUUGGCUAAUCCUGGUCGGACAUCAGGAGGUUAGUGCAAUGGCAUAAGCCAGCUUGACUGCGAGCGUGACGGCGCGAGCAGGUGCGAAAGCAGGUCAUAGUGAUCCGGUGGUUCUGAAUGGAAGGGCCAUCGCUCAACGGAUAAAAGGUACUCCGGGGAUAACAGGCUGAUACCGCCCAAGAGUUCAUAUCGACGGCGGUGUUUGGCACCUCGAUGUCGGCUCAUCACAUCCUGGGGCUGAAGUAGGUCCCAAGGGUAUGGCUGUUCGCCAUUUAAAGUGGUACGCGAGCUGGGUUUAGAACGUCGUGAGACAGUUCGGUCCCUAUCUGCCGUGGGCGCUGGAGAACUGAGGGGGGCUGCUCCUAGUACGAGAGGACCGGAGUGGACGCAUCACUGGUGUUCGGGUUGUCAUGCCAAUGGCACUGCCCGGUAGCUAAAUGCGGAAGAGAUAAGUGCUGAAAGCAUCUAAGCACGAAACUUGCCCCGAGAUGAGUUCUCCCUGACUCCUUGAGAGUCCUGAAGGAACGUUGAAGACGACGACGUUGAUAGGCCGGGUGUGUAAGCGCAGCGAUGCGUUGAGCUAACCGGUACUAAUGAACCGUGAGGCUUAACCUUACAACGCCGAAG